CAGACCUAUCCAACCAUGGCCGGCAAAUGCGUUACAGAUAUUAGUCUCCAAGUUCUUGACCCGAAGAUGGUAUGGGUUCUGGUUUCGGUCAGGGUCCGUCUUGAUUUCAAGAUCCUCUGCUCCCGCUGCCUGAUCUUUUCGAUGGCCGCCGCCGCGGCCGCCACGUCGUCGAAGCAAUGGCCGCCACCGACGCCGUCGCCACCGUCGCCACAGCCGCCACCGACGCCGUCGCCACAGCCACCACUUUACUCUUUCGGCGUCCCGUGGCCUGAGUUCAACGAAGGCUUGUCCUACACCGACGUAGUCCGAUCCCGGAGCUCCGCUCUAACCCUAAUCGAUUUCUACUCCUCUAAGUACAAGCACUCGGCGCCGUUGGAAGGUUGGCUUCACAGAAUCAAGAAUGGCCAGAUUACUGUCGAUGGAGAAAUGAUAACCGAUCCUUCCAUGGUUCUCAGGGAUGGUUCUAAAGUGGUUUAUUAUCGUCUGCCUUGGAAAGAGCCAUCUGCACCAUACCUGCUUGAAGUUCUUUAUGAAGAUGAUGAUAUGGUUGCUUUAAAUAAACCUUCUGGUCUGCAAGUUUUACCUGGAGGACUCUUCCAACAACGAACUGUUUUAAUGCAACUUCAAUGGAAAGAAUGGAGAAAAAAUACGUUGGGUUAUUCUAAACAAGAUAGUACCCAAGAAGCACAUCCUGUACCUGUUCAUCGCUUGGGAAGGGGAACAUCAGGUAUAUUGCUUUGCGCCAAGACAAAGCUCGCAAAAAGUUGCCUUGCGGCUUAUUUUGCCAAGGGCACUGAAAAUAUUGGAGAAAACAGAUGUGAAGGAAAGCCUGGAAUGCGAAGAAUUUCGAAAUUCUAUCGAUCAUUGGUCACUGGGGUAAUUGUAAACAAUGAGGUUUUAAUUAAACAGCCUAUUGGAGUGAUGCACUAUCCAGGGGUAGCGAAUGGGCUUUAUGUUGCAUCUUCAUCAGGGAAGCCAGCUAUGAGCAAGGUUUAUGUUCUCGAAAGAGAUCUCCAAAGAAACCAAACAUUGGUUCAGGUUGAGAUUCACUCCGGACGACCGCAUCAAAUUCGCAUUCACCUUGCAUCCAUUGGUCAUCCACUUUUAGGUGAUCCUCUUUAUGGUAUUGGUGGGUGUCCUAAACCCUUUGAGCCAGAUCCUAUAGAUGAUGGUUUUGCAGAAGAUGGUGGUUAUCAAAAACCAGUGCACUCUGUACCUGGAGACUGUGGCUAUUUCUUGCAUGCACAUCAACUUGUUCUUCAUCACCCAACCAUACAUGAGAUGGUAGGAAUCACUGCUCCGCUGCCACCCAUCCUCCAAACACGGGAAGAACUAGAUCGAACAAGACCAGCAGAAAAUGGCAAUGAUGGCAGGUAGUUGUUGUUGAUGCCACUGCAGUUGCCAGGGCAGAAGGAUAAACAAUGUCCAGUGGGCCCUCAUAUUUUGAACAGAAUAUUUUGAUCCUUUGCUGCUUGGGUGGUUCCCCGCAGGCUUGACCCCUUGAGGCUCUAUCACAGGCUAACUAAAUCAACUACUUCCACGAUUUUUCACCGUGAUGCUGUCUUUGCCAAGUUAUGUGCGGUGACAUCAAGUUGUUCUACCGAAAGUUAAGUCAUAUUGUUGCUUGUUUUGGUUUGCCAUCAAUAUCUGUCUCAAGGGAUGAUAUAUAUUUUAAUGUUAUUUUAGUCAGCGAUAUUCACCUACCAUCCUACGCUUUCCAGGUAUAUUAGGAACAGCUAUCGUGAAGGGCUCCAUCAAUGUCAUAGAUUCCGUUCUCAUUUUGUUGGAAGAAAAUUCCAUCAUUCACAGAACACCAUGUUCUUCACCAUCUGUGUCGUUUGUCUUGCUGCUACUGUAUCAUUUCAAAUUUUUUCACCUUUCUCGUUGAGCCAAGGAGCUUCAAGGUUGCAAGCGAUAUUAUUCAUUUACAUGUGAGGUUAACCAUUGAUUGGGGUACUGCUUGUGUUGA